rnacentral:rRNA from 1 species
UGGCGAACGGGUGAGUAACGCGUGAGUAAUCUGCCUCGUACUGGGGGAUAACGUCGGGAAACCGGCGCUAAUACCGCAUAAUACUACGGAAGCGCAUGCUUUUGUAGUCAAAGCUCCGGCGGUACGAGAUGAGCUCGCGUCCAAUUAGCUAGUUGGUGAGGUAAUGGCUCACCAAGGCGACGAUUGGUAGCCGAACUGAGAGGUUGGUCGGCCACAUUGGGACUGAGACACGGCCCAGACUCCUACGGGAGGCAGCAGUGGGGAAUAUUGCGCAAUGGAGGCAACUCUGACGCAGCAACGCCGCGUGAAGGAAGAAGGCCUUCGGGUUGUAAACUUCUUUGAUCGGGGACGAAGGUGACGGUACCCGAGGAACAAGCCACGGCUAACUACGUGCCAGCAGCCGCGGUAAUACGUAGGUGGCGAGCGUUGUCCGGAAUUACUGGGUGUA